UAUUAAAACGGCCAUGCCGCUCGCUAGCUCCUUCGUGGUUUUGAUAAUUGUUUGUUCAAAAAGGACCCAUGCAGACUCAGUAACGCAACCAAAAGGCACCGUUCCCAUCCAGGAAGGAAAACAUGUACUUCUCCACUGCACCUAUGAUUACUCUGGGUCUACUCCUAUACUCUUCUGGUACGAGCAGUGUCCCCAUGAGGCCCCGCGCCUGUUGCUGACACAAUAUGAAGCCUCGGACGAGGAGGAGAAGAGACGCAGGCGAGGGUUCUCUGCUAAGCUCGAGAAAGACUCCAAAUCCUUCCACCUGGAGAAAAACGCCAGCGAAGUGAGCGACUCUGCUGUUUAUUACUGCGCCAUGAGAGACACAGCGAGCAAAGCCACCUGGGGAGCUGCACAAAAACCCCACUGGCUGAGAAACACAAAGGACUGA